GAGCAAAGGGGUCUGAUGUCCUGGCCAGGCUGAGCCCAGUUGAGGAGGUACUGGGUUUGUAAUGAUAGCAGCUAAGGGUCACAGCCUCUUCACACCGGAGCCACACUAUAUUCCUGGGCAUUUCUGCUUCUUUCUCCGACUUCAUCUCAUUAUCUUUAGCUAUGCCGGCUUCUACCCGCAACUACGAUACCAGGUGGGAUACACUUAUGGCCGAACCACUGCAAAGAUAUUGACAGAUCCAACAGUGAAUAAAAGCCCAUGUUCUGUGUUGGCACCUAUCAGUAAACCCAAGUUUAUUGAAGAUUUUAGCCAUGAUAAAACAUCCCAUGCACAAUGGAUGGAUGAGAACCAGCCCCAUUUCCCUCAUUACUCGGGAUUCCAGCCCUUUAAGGACUUUGAGAUCAAAGGGCACUAUCUACCCUGUGAGACGGAUCAACAUGGUAUAACCAUGCCAGAAAGCAAUCAGUACGUGCUUCCAUCAGACACAGGUGGUGAAACCAUGCCCUACCCACCUCACCCACCAUGCCCGCCAGGCAGGAAAGUCAAUGAACCUGAAGUUGGACAUCCAGGUAUGCGGCUGGCGUAUGGAAAGGAAGGGUGGAAAACCUCACCCUCUCUUCAAAAGGAACCUGAAAGUCCUGGAUUUACUCAGCAGUACCACUUCCGGAGAGAUGUGUAUGCUCCUCAACCACCCCAGGCAGACACACUAGAUAUCGGCAGGUUUGAGAAGCUUCCCAAGCUAGACAAGCCCAACCUGAUCCAGCACAAAGCCAUCUCGGGAUACGCUGGAUUCGUACCACGAUUUACUUGGGUGAUGGGAGUCAAUUAUCGAGAUGGCGUCCAGCAGGCGAUGGACGAAUUUGAUAAAAGCCAGAAAGCAGGGAGUAGAAAAACUUCAGCAAUGUGACAGCUCAGCCAACACUUCAACCACUGUGGGGAGGACACUGUUAAGGACUAGAAGAGAAGGAAAGAAAAAGCAUUAAAGCCUGGGAGGCCCUGGGGAAAAUACAUUGACAACUUUACAGCUUCCCUGCCAAGUUACUAAUGAGCAAAAAAAACUCUGCAUUUGCAAGUAACAAAGAAUAUUUUCCCAGUUUCUAAUAAGAAAUCCCGUUUACGCUUUGGGAGAGAGACUACCAAAACAACACUGGCCAGACACCAAAGUUUACCACAGUCAAGGCCUGAUACCUUUCUACACAGGAUUCAUACCAAGUAUCUUUAAGACAUACUUAUGGUUUAACAUUUGGCAGUAGUACUCGUAAGGCUUACCAAAAAGAACAGAAGAGACGGAACAAUGCACUAUGAAAAAUGCUUUAAUGGUGUUAUCUGUACAGCAUUUGAUGUCAAAGAACAGGAAAACAGCAAGUGCAGAACGCAGCGAGACAUGAACAUCAGAAAAACAAGUUUGUGAGUGAAUAAAAAGAGUUCAUACAGCUUUCAACAUAA